UGGGGAAUUUUGGACAAUGGGGGCAACCCUGAUCCAGCAAUGCCGCGUGUGUGAAGAAGGCCUUCGGGUUGUAAAGCACUUUUGUCCGGAAAGAAAUCUUCUGCCCUAAUACGGCGGGAGGAUGACGGUACCGGAAGAAUAAGCACCGGCUAACUACGUGCCAGCAGCCGCGGUAAUACGUAGGGUGCGAGCGUUAAUCGGAAUUACUGGGCGUAAAGCGUGCGCAGGCGGUUCGCUAAGACCGAUGUGAAAUCCCCGGGCUUAACCUGGGAACUGCAUUGGUGACUGGCGGGCUAGAGUGUGGCAGAGGGGGGUAGAAUUCCACGUGUAGCAGUGAAAUGCGUAGAGAUGUGGAGGAAUACCGAUGGCGAAGGCAGCCCCCUGGGCCAACACUGACGCUCAUGCACGAAAGCGUGGGGAGCAAACAGG
rnacentral:rRNA from 2 species